rnacentral:tRNA from 1 species
GGGCGUAUGGCUCAGCGGUAGAGCACCUCCCUUACAAGGAGGGGGUCGCAGGUUCGAUCCCUGCUGCGCCCA